CGCACAGCAACAAAUCGCUGCAGAGCUGGGUAAAGGGGGCGGAGUAAAGUGUGUGUGCAGGAGAGGAGUCGAGCAGAGAGAGCUGCUUUUUCGUGAAACGGGAGUAAAGUAGUAAACUUACAGGAUCAUAUACAACUACCUACUUUUCAAUCGAUAUCUGCAUCGAUCUACCCACCGUUGUCUCUUGGAUUGCAGCUGAGAUCAGCGCGAACCACGUGUGUCUCAGCUUCCUGAUCUGUUAACUGUGUUUGGAAAGGCUUCUAGCUUAAUCACAGAGUUCUCUCGUUCGUGGGCUCAUCUAAAGGAGCAGAAGAGUCUGUUGGAGCACCAGAGGAACAAUUUCAGCCAUUUAGACUCAGCUCAGCCACUAUAGAGGAAACAAUGUCUUCAACACAAAAGGACCAACAUGGAGCGAGAAAUCAGCGCUCUCAGGAGGCCGACAAACCUCACAGAAGAAAGGGAGAGAAAACAUACAGCUGUGAUGAGUGUGGAAAGUGUUUUACCCGGGCAGAAAACUUAAAAACACACCAAUUCAUCCACAGUGGAGUUAAACCUUACAGCUGUGAUUUGUGUGGAAAGUCAUUUACCCAGCCUGGAGGCUUAAAAACACACCAACUCAUCCACAGUGGAGUUAAAGCAUACAGCUGUGAGUUCUGUGAAAAGUCUUUUACCCAGGCUGGAGACUUAAAAAGACACCAAGUCAUCCACAGUGGAGUUAAAGCGUACAACUGUGAGUUGUGUGGAAAGUCUUUUGCCCUUGCUCAAAGCUUAAAAAAGCACCAACUCAUACACAGUGGAGUUAAAUCUUACAGCUGUGAGUUGUGUGGAAAGUCUUUUACCCUUGCUCAAAGCUUAAAAAAGCACCAACUCAUCCACAGUGGAUUUAAACCUUACAGCUGUGACUUGUGUGGGAAGUCUUUUGCCCGGGCUGGAGGCUUAAAGAAACACCGACUCAUCCACAGUGGAGUUAAACUUUACAGCUGUGACUUGUGUGGAAAGUCUUUUGCCCAGGCUGGAAACUUAAAAACACACCGACUCAUCCACAGUGGAUUUAAACCUUACAGCUGUGACU